rnacentral:rRNA from 1 species
CGUCGCGGUUCUAUUUUGUUGGUUUCUAGGACCGCCGUAAUGAUUAAUAGGGACAGUCGGGGGCAUCAGUAUUCAAUCGUCAGAGGUGAAAUUCUUGGAUCGAUUGAAGACUAACUACUGCGAAAGCAUUUGCCAAGGAUGUUUUCAUUAAUCAGGAACGAAAGUUAGGGGAUCGAAAACGAUCAGAUACCGUUGUAGUCUUAACCAUAAACUAUGCCGACUAGGGAUCGGGCGGUGUUAUUUCUUGACCCGCUCGGCACCUUACACGAAAGUAAAGUUUUUGGGUUCUGGGGGGAGUAUGGUCGCAAGGCUGAAACUUAAAGAAAUUGACGGAAGGGCACCACAAGGGGUGGAGCCUGCGGCUUAAUUUGACUCAACACGGGGAAACUC